UCCCGGUUGGUGCAACGGUAGCACCCCUGACUCUGACUCAGGUGAUCGUGGUUCGAAUCCAUGACCGGGAG
rnacentral:tRNA from 1 species